AGCUUUAAGAUUUUCUUUUAUUUAAAGUAAAACCUGCCCGGUGAUAUUUUUAACGGCCGCAGUACUUUGGCUGUGCUAAGGUAGCAUAAUAAAUUGGCUUUUAAUUGAAGUCUAGGAUGAAUGGAAAAUUGAGGGAGAACUGUCUUUUAAAAAAUAUUUAAAAUUUACUUAUUAGGUGAAAAUACCUAUAAUAUUAAAUUAGACGAGAAGACCCUAAGAAUUACAGUGAAUAAUUAGAUUUUUUUUAUUUAAACUUUUGUUGGGGCAACAUUGUUUGGUAAAAUCAACAAUAUAUAAGAAGUAAUACAUCAAUCAUUAUACGGAAAUUUUUAAUUACCUUAGGGAUAACAGCAUAAUUAGUUUUUUAGAUUGUGACCUCGAUGUUGGAUUAAGGCCUUUAAUUAUCAGCAAUAAUUGAAGAUUGUUCUGUUCGAACAUAAAACCUU
rnacentral:rRNA from 1 species